rnacentral:lncRNA from 1 species
AAGGAAUACAAGCUGACAAAAUCACAAUCAUCAUGUUUAAUAAUUUUUUUUUUCUAAAAAUAUCCCUUAAGACAUCGAAAGAAAUACUAAAUUCCUUACCGAAAUCUUAAUGUUUCUCCUUCACCGUUCCUCUUUUCUUUUCCUUUUUCUCUCACUAGAUUACUCUCUCUCCUUAUCUCUCUAAGUCUAGAAAAAUGGAAGAAUGGAAGUGUGCGAAGAAUGAGAUGGUAAGACCUAUUUAUAGAAUUUUAGAACUAUCAGAUUCACGCCAAGUGGCAAAAUUCGAUGAAGAGGGAGGAGAAAUAGAUGUUUGCCAUAAAAAACAAGAGAGGAGGGCCUAUUCCACCAACGACAAUUAUACACCACCUGAGGCGACAAUGAUGCACUGGCCGAGGUAGUAGUGCCCCAGCCGGCCCGCUACUGUCUAGCUUGUAGCGCACAAGCAUCUUGCCGCGCACACAGGAGUUAACAUGUGC